CCGGAACCCGCGCUAACUCACCCGUGUAUGGCAGGAGCGGGGGACCCACAGGUACAACCGCCUGUUCCGGUCUCCGGAACGGCUUGGGGUUAAGCCGCGCCUCGGUGCGGCCGGGCAUCUCCAGUCCGAACCCGACAGCUCACCUCGCAGGCGCCGGAGAGGAAUU
rfam:Streptomyces sp. RV15 genomic scaffold PRJNA299236_s012, whole genome shotgun sequence.